GGCGUGACAAUGACAUUGUUUUUCACAAGUUAUAAACAUCUGUUUUUAGUUAUAAUUCGAUGUUACAUAAUGUAUGCAUAUUGGAUAAAACCCAGAUGAUUACAAAUACCGAAAUCUUGGACAAUUAACAAGGUCAUUCCAGAAUCCUUAUCAUGUCAUGUCAUGUAAAUAACAAAAUCAUGUUCCAAUAACAUCUCCCGUAAAUAGAUAAGUCAUUGUGACAUGAGAUACAAUUCCAAAUUUAUUCUUGAUUCAAAUUAACCCUUACAUGAACAGUUAGGAUAUAGA